rnacentral:pre_miRNA from 1 species
GAAGUACUCCCUCCGUUCGGAAUUACUUGUCUCGGAAAUGGAUGUAUCUAGAACUAAAAUACGUCUAGAUACAUCCAUUUCUGCGACAAGUAAUUCCGAACGGAGGGAGUAGCAA